rnacentral:rRNA from 1 species
AAAGUCGGAAUUGCUAGUAAUGGCAGGUCAGCAUACUGCCGUGAAUACGUUCCCGGGCCUUGUACACACCGCCCGUCGCACCAUGAGAGUUGGGAAUACCCGAAGCCUGUGAGCCAACAAACGAGGCAGCAGUCGAAGGUAGAAUCAAUGAUUGGGGUGAAGUCGUAACAAGGUAUC